rnacentral:misc_RNA from 1 species
AACGCAAAUUGCGCUCUCGGGAUAGGCCUGGGAGCACGCCUCUUUGAGUAUCGUUUCAACCACAACUCGAAAGCGUGCUUUAUUGCAUCGCUGACGGAAAAUGAGCGUUCUCGUGCUUACGAGAUGCUUUAAAUUGAGCGAGUGACUUGGCAACUGCCGUUCAAUGGCUCUUGUCAGUGGUGACGAGGAUAACUUCACAUUCAGUUGUGAACCCUUCCAUCGUGACUGCUCGACUGAGUGCUGUCUGACACAGUUGUCGACUGGUCACGGCUUGUCUGCGGAGCAUCUGUCGUGGUGCUCGUAGAAAUACCUUUUGAACUAGAUCUCAAAUGAAGCGAGAAAACCCGCUGAACUUAA